AAUGCUAUGUCUGAGAUUAAAGUAAUAAAUUGUAAAUUUAUUUAAGGAAUAAUAUAAUAUUCCUAGCAUUA
rnacentral:tRNA from 1 species